UGAGAACUGAUCAUUUCCUUUCCUCUUUAUACCAACCAAUGGGGCAGGUACCAUUAUUAAAGGGGGAGGAAAUAGAGGUUAAAUAACAUGCCCCCAAUCAGUAGUGGGGAAAUGAAAGAAUCAGGAUUCAAAGCCAGGUUUGUCUGGGUCUUGGGACCAGCUCAGCGUCUGUGCUGUACUGCCCGGGACUCCUGCUGCCAAUUCUUUCUACCUCAUUAUCCCUCAACCCUGCACCAGCAAAUCCACAGGGCGUGAGAUGAAGAGAAGAGAGGACCACAGGCGAGAAAGUGGCAGCAGCAAGAGAAGAUGUACCAUGAGGAAGUUCUGGGAGGUUCUGCCCGUCUUUCUGAGAACAGGGGAGAGACAGAGCUGAGUUACAACUGCACUGCUUCUUAGCUUCUUAGUUUCUCUUCAGAAUUAGUGGCAAAGAAGAGUUUUCGAAGUCUUUAGCAUGUAUUAAACGAAGAAUUUUGUUUAUAAGAAAAAAUUGU
rnacentral:lncRNA from 1 species